AAGUCUGUUGGAAUACAGCGGCAUAGUGGUGAGACCCCCGUAUAUGGUGCGGACGCCCAGCGCUUUGUGAUUCAUUUUCGAAGAGUCGAGUUGUUUGGGAAUGCAGCUCAAAUUGGGUGGUAAAUUCCAUCUAAAGCUAAAUAUUGGCGAGAGACCGAUAGCGAACAAGUACCGUGAGGGAAAGAUGAAAAGCACUUUGGAAAGAGAGUUAACAGUACGUGAAAUUGUUGGAAGGGAAACGCUUGAAGUCAGACUUGCUUGCCGAGCAAUCGGUUUGCAGGCCAGCAUCAGUUUUCCGGGAUGGAUAAUGGUAGAGAGAAGGUAGCAGUUUCGGCUGUGUUAUAGCUCUCUGCUGGAUACAUCUUGGGGGACUGAGGAACGCAGUGUGCCUUUGGCGGGGGUUUCGACCUCUUCACACUUAGGAUGCUGGUGGAAUGGCUU
rnacentral:rRNA from 1 species